ACGAGCGGCAGACGGGUGAGGAACACGUACGCAACCUCCCUCAAACCGGGGCACAACCUUGAGAAAUCAGGGCUAAUUCCCCAUAACAUUGCGAAAGGGCAUCUGAUUGCAAUUAAAGAUUUAUCAGUUUGAGAUGGGCGUGCGUUCGAUUAGCUAGUUGGUAAGGUAACGGCCUACCAAGGCAACGAUCGAUAGCUGGUGUGAGAGCACGACCAGCCACACGGGCACUGAGAUACGGGCCCGACUCCUACGGGAGGCAGCAGUAAGGAAUAUUGGUCAAUGGACGAAAGUCUGAACCAGCCAUGCCGCGUGAGGGAUGAAGGUCCUCUGGAUUGUAAACCUCUUUUAUCUGUGAAUAAAUACCUGAUUUCUAUCGGGUUUGAAGGUAAUAGAUGAAUAAGCACCGGCUAACUCCGUGCCAGCAGCCGCGGUAAUACGGAGGGUGCAAGCGUUAUCCGGAUUUACUGGGUUUAAAGGGUGCGUAGGUGGAUUGGUAAGUCAGUGGUGAAAUACUUUCGCUUAACGAAGGAACUGCCAUUGAUACUAUCAAUCUUGAAUGUAGUGGAAGUAGGCGGAAUGCCUCAUGU
rnacentral:rRNA from 1 species